rnacentral:rRNA from 1 species
CAGCACCUCAAGUGGUCAGGAUGAUUAUUGGGCCUAAAGCAUCCGUAGCCGGCGCUGUAAGUUUUCGGUUAAAUCUGUACGCUCAACGUACAGGCUGCCGGGAAUACUGCAGCGCUAGGGAGUGGGAGAGGUAGACGGUACUCGGUAGGAAGGGGUAAAAUCCUUUGAUCUACUGAUGACCACCUGUGGCGAAGGCGGUCUACCAGAACACGUCCGACGGUGAGGGAUGAAAGCUGGGGGAGCAAACCGGAUUAGAUACCCGAGUAGUCC